AUUGAACGCUGGCGGCGUGCUUAACACAUGCAAGUCGAACGGUAAGGCCCUUCGGGGUACACGAGUGGCGAACGGGUGAGUAACACGUGGGUGAUCUGCCCUGCACUUCGGGAUAAGCCUGGGAAACUGGGUCUAAUACCGGAUAGGACUCCGGACUGCAUGGUCUGGGGUGGAAAGCUUUUGCGGUGUGGGAUGGGCCCGCGGCCUAUCAGCUUGUUGGUGGGGUGAUGGGCUACCAAGGCGACGACGGGUAGCCGGCCUGAGAGGGUGACCGGCCACACUGGGACUGAGAUACGGCCCAGACUCCUACGGGAGGCAGCAGUGGGGAAUAUUGCACAAUGGGCGCAAGCCUGAUGCAGCGACGCCGCGUGGGGGAUGACGGCCUUCGGGUUGUAAACCUCUUUCAGCAUCGACGAAGCGAAAGUGACGGUAGGUGCAGAAGAAGGACCGGCCAACUACGUGCCAGCCGCCGCCGUAA
rnacentral:rRNA from 1 species